rnacentral:rRNA from 1 species
UACGGAGGGGGCGAGCGUUGUUCGGAUUUACUGGGCGUAAAGGGUCCGUAGGUGGUUUUGUAAGUUAGAUGUGAAAGCCCGGAGCUCAACUCCGGAAUUGCAUUUAAAACUGCAAGACUAGAAUCAUAGAGAGGAUAGUGGAAUUUCCAGUGUAGAGGUGAAAUUCGUAGAUAUUGGAAGGAACACCAGAGGCGAAGGCGACUAUCUGGCUAUGUAUUGACACUGAGGGACGAAAGCGUGGGGAGCAAACAGG